UUGCUUCAUCUCAUUCAGUAAGAACAAUAAUUUCUUCUCACACUUAAGUGCAUAAUUAUUUUUUAAAGGAUCGCAAAUUUUCACUUUCCUAGAAAAGGAAGUCGGAGAGCAGGAACUGCAUGUGGAGGAAGGAACUGAAACAUGAACCCAAGAACAAAACAAAAUGAACUGCUGACUGAGGGACAGGCAGUAUCUGGAAAAGCAUAGCGGUCGGUGGUCAGCAAAGAUCCAAUAUGAUCUUUGGUGGUCAGGACUGAGAAAACAGAAGGGAGAUAGCCAGUAGAGUGAGGCAGAAUAUCCAGGUGGAUCAUGGGUUGUUCUUCCCUUCACAAGUUUGAAUUUUGCCUCACCGUGUCAGUGGUGAGGACCGAGGACAGCGAUGUUUUUAACAAACUUGAUAAAACGCAAGUCGGAUCGAUUAUUCUUCAGCAGCUAAACAGCCUGACAAAGAUUGAUUUCAGCAGGCUGGAAAAAAACGGCAUUUUAAACCCGCCCCCUCUCCAAGGCGCCAAAGUCGCGCGCACGGGCAGAGGCAGAACUGCAGCACCG